UACAGAGGUCUCAAGCGUUGUUCGGAAUCACUGGGCGUAAAGGGUGCGUAGGCGGCGCGGUAAGUCGGGUGUGAAAUCUCGGAGCUUAACUCCGAAACUGCAUUCGAUACUGCCGUGCUUGAGGACUGGAGAGGAGACUGGAAUUUACGGUGUAGCGGUGAAAUGCGUAGAUAUCGUAAGGAAGACCAGUGGCGAAGGCGGGUCUCUGGACAGUUCCUGACGCUGAGGCACGAAGGUCAGGGGGAGCAAACGGG
rnacentral:rRNA from 1 species